CUUUGGCAUCAGUGUGCCUCCCUCUUGUGUAGUCUGAACCCUCAGAAUUAAAGAUGAAUAAAAAUGCCAAGUCAUGGGAAAGUCUGGCCCUAAGAAAAGCAACUGAUGAGCUAUCAGCUCAUGGACUGUCAGCAGGGCCAUCUGUAGGUGAUGCCCUCUCCUCUGUCUAUCCUCUUGUGAGGUCAAUCCAGCAGGAAGUCCAGCCCUGCCGAGAGAAGGGGGUACCAUGAAUGCACCGAUGGGACCAGAGUCCCUUCCGGAGCUCCCCAGGUCCCAGCACUGCUGUCCUCCUUGUCUGCCUGUGUCUUCUGGAGCUGGCCUUGAGGCCCAUGAAGAAAUGCAGCCUUUUGAAGGUAAAGCAAGGACUACUUGAUGCUGAGAUAGACAGGGUGCCAGCACCCAGCUCAGGUCAUGAGAAGCUGAGUUCACUGUAAGAACCCUAUAAACAUCUGCAGCAGAUGGACCUGCCCAAGGUGAGGGUUCAAUUUUCCCCUGUGAGAACAAGCCGACUAGGGAGGUACUAGCCGUGCAUGAGGUCAUCCUGACUCUCCUCUGAGAGAAGGAUGAUUCAGCCUAUGACUCUCCUCCGAGGGAAGGAUGAUUCGGCCUAUGUCCCUGUCUUCCUCUGCAGCCUUGCCCUGACAUCUGGAAAACAGUGUUUCCUGUUGCUGAGAGAAGAGAUUGCAGAACGUGGUAAAGGAAGCUGAGGAAUGUUGCAAAAUCUUUAAAGGUGGCCUGAAGUAACCGAAGAAUCACAAAAGAAGUGAAAACGCCCUGCCCCGCCUUAACUGAUGACAUUCCACCACAGAAGAAGUGAAAAUGGCCAGUCGUUGCCUUAACUGAUGACACUGUCUUGUGAAAGUCCUUUUCCUGGCUCAUCCUGGCUCAAAAGCUCCCCUACUGAACACCUUGUGACCCCCACUCCUGCCCGCCAGAGAACAAUCCCCCUUUGACUGUAAUUUUCCUUUACCUACCCAAAUCUUAUAAAACGGCCCCACCCCUAUCUCCCUUCACUUACUCUCUUUUUGGACUCAGCCCACCUGCACCCAGGUGAUUAAAAAGCUUUAUUGUUCACACAAAGCCUGUUUAGUAGUCUCUUCACACGGACAUGCAAGAAAGUGGUCUCCACAGUGAGACAGGUAAAUCUCACAGUGUGGACAAGGUAAUCCAUUGAAAUACACAAAGAAAAACUAGCAACCACUACUUUUAUUUAUUCAUUACAUUACAAUUUUAAUUUUAUUCUUUAUGUAUAUUCUUUUGUUUUGGAUGUUUU
rnacentral:lncRNA from 1 species